UCUUAGCUUGCUAAGACCGAUGGCGACCGGCGCACGGGUGAGUAACACGUAUCCCACCUGCCGUCUACUCUUGGACAGCCUUCUGAAAGGAAGAUUAAUACAAGAUGGCAUCAUGAGUCCACAUGUUCACAUGAUUAAAGGUAUUCCGGUAGACGAUGGGGAUGCGUUCCAUUAGAUAGUAGGCGGGGUAACGGCCCACCUAGUCUUCGAUGGAUAGGGGUUCUGAGAGGAAGGUCCCCCACAUUGGAACUGAGACACGGUCCAAACUCCUACGGGAGGCAGCAGUGAGGAAUAUUGGUCAAUGGGCGCAGGCCUGAACCAGCCAAGUAGCGUGAAGGAUGACUGCCCUAUGGGUUGUAAACUUCUUUUAUAAAGGAAUAAAGUCGGGUAUGUAUACCCGUUUGCAUGUACUUUAUGAAUAAGGAUCGGCUAACUCCGUGCCAGCAGCCGCGGUAAUACGGAGGAUCCGAGCGUUAUCCGGAUUUAUUGGGUUUAAAGGGAGCGUAGAUGGAUGUUUAAGUCAGUUGUGAAAGUUUGCGGCUCAACCGUAAAAUUGCAGUUGAUACUGGAUAUCUUGAGUGCAGUUGAGGCAGGCGGAAUUCGUGGUGUAGCGGUGAAAUGCUUAGAUAUCACGAAGAACUCCGAUUG
rnacentral:rRNA from 1 species